UACAGAGGUUGCAAGCGUUAAUCGGAUUUACUGGGCGUAAAGGGUGUGUAGGUGGUUUGGCAAGUCGGUUGUGAAAUCCCCGGGCUCAACCUGGGAAUUGCUUCCGAUACUGCCAGACUAGAGUACGGUAGAGGGCGGUGGAAUUUCCGGUGUAGCGGUGAAAUGCGUAGAUAUCGGAAGGAACACCAAUGGCGAAGGCAGCCGCCUGGGCCUGUACUGACACUGAGACACGAAAGCGUGGGGAUCAAACAGGAUUAGAUACCCCAGUAGU
rnacentral:rRNA from 1 species